rnacentral:rRNA from 2 species
UGAGGAAUAUUGGUCAAUGGACGAGAGUCUGAACCAGCCAAGUAGCGUGAAGGAUGACUGCCCUAUGGGUUGUAAACUUCUUUUAUACGGGAAUAAAGUUAGCCACGUGUGGCUUUUUGUAUGUACCGUAUGAAUAAGGAUCGGCUAACUCCGUGCCAGCAGCCGCGGUAAUACGGAGGAUCCGAGCGUUAUCCGGAUUUAUUGGGUUUAAAGGGAGCGUAGGCGGGUUGUUAAGUCAGUUGUGAAAGUUUGCGGCUCAACCGUAAAAUUGCAGUUGAUACUGGCGACCUUGAGUGCAACAGAGGUAGGCGGAAUUCGUGGUGUAGCGGUGAAAUGCUUAGAUAUCACGAAGAACUCCGAUUGCGAAGGCAGUUUACUGGAUUGUAACUGACGCUGAUGCUCGAAAGUGUGGGUAUCAAACAGGAUUAGAUACCCUGGUAGUCCACACAGUAAACGAUGAAUACUCGCUGUUGGCGAUAUACGGUCAGCGGCCAAGCGAAAGCAUUAAGUAUUCCACCUGGGGAGUACGCCGGCAACGGUGAAACUCAAAGGAAUUGACGGGGGCCCGCACAAGCGGAGGAACAUGUGGUUUAAUUCGAUGAUACGCGAGGAACCUUACCCGGGCUUAAAUUGCAACUGACUGAACCGGAAACGGUUCUUUCUUCGGACAGUUGUGAAGGUGCUGCAUGGUUGUCGUCAGCUCGUGCCGUGAGGUGUCGGCUUAAGUGCCAUAACGAGCGCAACCCUUAUCGAUAGUUACUAGCAGGUCAUGCUGAGGACUCUAUUGAGACUGCCGUCGUAAGAUGUGAGGAAGGUGGGGAUGACGUCAAAUCAGCACGGCCCUUACGUCCGGGGCUACACACGUGUUACAAUGGGGGGUACAGAAGGCAGCUACACGGCGACGUGGUGCUAAUCCCGAAAGCCUCUCUCAGUUCGGAUUGGAGUCUGCAACCCGACUCCAUGAAGCUGGAUUCGCUAGUAAUCGCGCAUCAGCCACGGCGCGGUGAAUACGUUCCC